GCGGCGUUAGCUCAGCUGGAUAGAGUAGUUGGCUUCGAACCAAUUGGUCGGGAGUUCGAAUCUCUCACGCCGCGCCA
rnacentral:tRNA from 1 species